rnacentral:rRNA from 1 species
UACGAAGGGGGCUAGCGUUGUUCGGAAUUACUGGGCGUAAAGCGCACGUAGGCGGAUUUGUAAGUCAGGGGUGAAAUCCCGGGGCUCAACCUCGGAACUGCCUUUGAUACUGCAAGUCUAGGGUCCGGAAGAGGUGGGUGGAAUUCCUAGUGUAGAGGUGAAAUUCGUAGAUAUUAGGAAGAACACCGGUGGCGAAGGCGGCCCACUGGUCCGGUACUGACGCUGAGGUGCGAAAGCGUGGGGAGCGAACAGG